rnacentral:rRNA from 1 species
CACGUAGUUAGCCGGUGCUUCUUCUCCAGGUACCGUCACUUGCGCUUCGUCCCUAGCGAAAGGAGUUUACAACCCGAAGGCCGUCAUCCCCCACGCGGCGUCGCUGCAUCAGGCUUGCGCCCAUUGUGCAAUAUUCCCCACUGCUGCCUCCCGUAGGAGUCUGGGCCGUAUCUCAGUCCCAAUGUGGCCGUACACCCUCUCAGGCCGGCUACCCGUCGACGCCUUGGUAGGCCAUUACCCCACCAACAAGCUGAUAGGCCGCGAGCUCAUCCCACACCGAAAAAACUUUCCACAAUGGCAUCCAAACCAUCGUCCUAUCCGGUAUUAGACCCAGUUUCCCAGGCUUAUCCCGAAGUGCAGGGCAGAUCACCCACGUGUUACUCACCCGUUCGCCACUCGAGUACCCCUGCAAGCAGGAGCCUUUCCGUUCGACUUGCAUGUGUUAAGCACGCCGCCAGCGUUCAUCCUGAGCCAGGAUCAAACUC